rnacentral:lncRNA from 1 species
CCAGAUCUCGUGUGUCCAAGUUCAGAGGGAGCAUAUGGUUCCCAAGGCAAGGCUCACAUGAGCAGUUCUGAACUUAAGUCAAAGAAGAUAGUGCAAGUGCAGAAGCAGAGUUCUAAGAGCUUAGGGAAUAAAGGAUAUGAUAAAGGGUGGUAAGGAAACAAUUACAAAAUUGAUAACUUCAUAAGGGGUUCAGGGGUUUGGAAUUGCAAAGGGCCUAUGUACUUAGGUAAGGUUCCACUUUCAGCAUGCACAACAGUAGAAGAUGUUGGCAUGUCAAUAAGCCCACCAGAACACAUAACACUAGAGAAAACAUAGAGGUUAUGAUCCUAGGGGGUCAAGUUUGAGUUAUAGACAACAACAUUCAAUAUUUACAUGCCUCAAAAAAACCAUAAGUAUCAAAAAUAUUGGGGAAGGGGUUUAGGAUUUAUAAUAUAUUAAUUCAGAAAAGAAAAGGCAGAAUAUAACGUGCAUAAUGAUUGAACUGAGUUAAACACAAACAGGAGCCAAACAUGAAUGACAUAAAUAAUAAGGAAACAUGUUGUUGUCUAUGAUGAAAAUUAUUUAGAACAUACCAGUUCAAAGAAGCAAAAAUGUUGUAAAUAAAGGUAGCGGGACUUCGAGAUAUAGCUUUGGCUUUCAGUCAGCUAUACAGGCCACAAUACAAGUAGUAAAGUAAGAGAGUGUUUUGAGAGUAAAUUAUGAGUUCAGAACUAGAGAGUUCGUGUGUUUGUGUUAGUGAGAGAGUAUUUAUAUAUAGUAGUUUAAAAACCAUGCAAAAUAAGGCAAGAAUUAUUAUUGUAUAGUAAUUAUGGAACUCGGAAUCAAUUAAAGCAAAAAUCAGUACAAGCACUCCAUUAACUUGAGGGAAUCAGUUCAAACGGUUAGAACAAGUAUCAAAUAAGGAAAGAAAUAUAUGCAAGUAUUCCUUCAAUUAGGGAGCAAACAACCAACGGUAAUGGGCAAAAAAUGUUUAAGGAAAUAAAUCAAGUAGAGCAUCAUGUAUAGAAUAGACAAUUAGGGGUAAGUACAUAGGGGUUGAAUUAGGGAAACAACUAAUGAAAAAUCAGUAAAAAAUACUCGAUUAACCAAAUAAGGUAAGAAGCACAAUAAAUUUGCAGAAUAUGGAUAUAAUCAGCUCAUAGUAAAUUAGGGAGUCAGGGAUUUGAAAUUAAUGAAUUAAGGAGAAUAACAUGAGUUCUCAUGAAUAAGCAAAUAAACCAAGUUAAAAUAGGAGAAUCGAAAGUUUAAAGGGAAGUUUUCAAAUCAAGCCAAGAAAUAGGGAACUCAAAUUCAGUCAAAGAGAGAGUCAUGAGUCCUAUUUUAGCAUAUAAAUCGAGUGAGAUAUGAGUAACCAGACGUAGCAAGAAAAGAGGCAAGUCUUGACUAAUCAAGACGAACCCAAGCAUAUAAGUUAGGCAUAAGAAAUUCAGUACAAACACAUUCAAAGCGAGAUAGUCACAAAAACUUAAAACAGUACAGGCCACUCACAAAGUCAAACCAAGAAUCCUAGAAAAAUUAGGGCUUUCAAAAUAGGCGAGUCAAAGAGAGGAUAAAACCCCAGAAUCAGAAGAAUCACACAAAAGGAACAUGAGAUUUCGAAAAGAACUUUUGCACUUGAACGAACAGCCUCAGACACAAAACCAUAAGAUUUUCCACAUUAGAAGGGUUUUAAAAAGAGAAUAAAUAGACAGAUCGGACAAAACUCAGGAAAAAACAUUCACUUAAGAAAUAAUUAAAGAAAUCAAGGGUUUUAACAUGCAAACUCAAGCAGUAGGAUAAUACGAGCAAACACAGCAAAACAUAUCAAAAAUCAAAGAAAGGUUUUGAAAUAAAUUUCCAAAAUCUUAAUAAAAAAUAUGAGGUUUUGAAGGUAGAGUUUCAAAAGAAAUUUUGAGAAAAAUGUUUAGAAGUUUAGAGAAAACACAGAUCGAAAAUAGAUCUAAAAAAAUCGGAAGAACCUUAAAGUUUAGGGUUUCAGAAGAACCCCAAGUGGUGAGAAAGGCUUUGAAAAUCACUGAUCUAAGUAGGAGAGUCAAGAGUCAGACUCGAAUAGUCAUGGCUGGUCGGAGAAAAGUAGAGACGAUUGGUGAACAACCAUAAAAUGAAAUCGACCAAGGUCUGAACCAAACUUCUUCAAGCUCUGCCCUUGAAACCAUAAUAAUCGAACAGAUAGAAGCCAAGGGAGGUAACGCAGGCCUCCAAUGACCUUGGAAGCCAUGGAUUUAGGAGGUUUUCGGGUGGUAGUUGUGGGUGGCGACUAGUGUUUGAGAGGGGUUUGAGAGAGGAUUUAGAGAGAGGGGAAUUUAGAGGCGGCAGAGUGUGAGAAAUGAUAGAGUUUAGGGGUCGUUUGGGAUUAAC